UACGGGAGGCAGCAGUGGGGAAUAUUGCACAAUGGGCGAAAGCCUGAUGCAGCUAUGCCGCGUGUAUGAAGAAGGCCUUAGGGUUGUAAAGUACUUUUCAUCGGGGAGGAAAAAACAAAACUAAUAAUUUUAUUUCUUGACGUUACCCGAAAAAGAAGCACCGGCUAACUCCGUGCCAGCAGCCGCGGUAAUACGGAGGGUGCUAGCGUUAAUCAGAAUUACUGGGCGUAAAGAGCACGUAGGUGGUUUUUUUAAGUCAAGAUGUGAAAUCCCUGGGCUUAACCUGGAACUUGCAUUUUGAAACUGAAAUACUAGAGUAUCGUAGAGGGAGGUAGAAUUCUAGGUGUAGCGGUUGAAAAUGCGUAGAUAUCUGGAGGAAUACCUGUGGCGAAAGCGGCCUCCUAAACGAAUACUGACACUGAGGGUGCGGAAAGCGUGGGGAGCAAACAGGGAUUAGAUACC
rnacentral:rRNA from 1 species